rnacentral:rRNA from 1 species
GAUGAACGCUGGCGGCGUGCCUAAUACAUGCAAGUCGAGCGAACGGACGAGAAGCUUGCUUCUCUGAUGUUAGCGGCGGACGGGUGAGUAACACGUGGAUAACCUACCUAUAAGACUGGGAUAACUUCGGGAAACCGGAGCUAAUACCGGAUAAUAUUUUGAACCGCAUGGUUCAAAAGUGAAAGAAGGUCUUGCUGUCACUAAUAGAUGGAUCAGCGCUGCAUUAGCUAGUUGGUAAGGUAACGGAUUACCAAGGCAACGAUGCAUAGCCGACCUGAGAGGGAGAUCGGCCACAUGGGAACAGAGACACGGUACAGACACCUACAGUAGGCAGCAGUAGGGAAUCUUCCGCGAGGGACGAAAGCCUGACAGAGCAACGCCGCGUGAAUGAUGAAGGUCUUCGGAUCGUAAAACUCUGUUAUUAGGGAAGAACAUAUGUGUAAGUAACUGUGCACAUAUUGACGGUACCGAAUCAGAAAGCCACGGCUAACUACGUG